rnacentral:ncRNA from 1 species
GAUGACAGAUGAUAGCUCUUCUGAUUCUAUGGUGUGGUGCAUGGCCGUUCUUAGUUGGUGGAGUGAUUUGUCUGUUAAUUCCGUUAACGAACGAGACCUUAACCUGCUAAAUAGUUGCGCGAAACUUUAUGUUUCGUCGCUACUUCUUAGAGGGACUUUGUGUGUUUAACACAAGGAAGCUUGAGGCAAUAACAGGUCUGUGAUGCCCUUAGAUGUUCUGGGCUGCACGCGCGCUACACUGACACGAUCAACAAGUAUUUCCUUGCCCGGUAGGGUUAGGGUAAUCUUUUGAAAUCGUGUCGUGCUAGGGAUAGACGAUUGCAAUUAUUCGUCUUCAACGAGGAAUUCCUAGUAAAUGCAAGUCAUCAGCUUGCGUUGAUUACGUCCCUGCCCUUUGUACACACCGCCCGUCGCUCCUACCGAUUGAGUGAUCCGGUGAGCUGUCCGGACUGCGAUUAGUUCAGUUUCUGUUCUCUUCGCGGGAAGUUCUGCAAACCUUAUCACUUAGAGGAAGGAGAAGUCGUAACAAGGUUUCCGUAGGUGAACCUGCGGAAGGAUCAUUC